GGCGAACGCUGGCGGCGUGCUUAACACAUGCAAGUCGAACGGAAAGGCCCUGCUUUUGUGGGGUGCUCGAGUGGCGAACGGGUGAGUAACACGUGAGUAACCUGCCCUUGACUUUGGGAUAACUUCUGGAAACUGGGGCUAAUACCGGAUAGGAGCUCCUGCUGCAUGGUGGGGGUUGGAAAGUUUCGGCGGUUGGGGAUGGCCUCGCGGCUUAUCAGCUUGUUGGUGGGGUAGUGGCUUACCAAGGCGUUGACGGGUAGCCGGCCUGAGAGGGUGACCGGCAACAUUGGGACUGGGAAACGGCCCAGAGUCUAACGGGGGGAAGCAGUGGGGAAUUUUCCACAAUGGGCGGAAGCCUGAUGCAGCAACGCCGCGUGCGGAAUGACGGCUUUCGGGUUGUAACCCGCUUUCGCCUGGGACGAAGCGUGAUGACCGGUACUGGGUAAAGAACCACCGCCAAACUAGUU
rnacentral:rRNA from 1 species